UACGAAGGGGGCUAGCGUUGCUCGGAAUCACUGGGCGUAAAGGGUGCGUAGGCGGGUCUUUAAGUCAGGGGUGAAAUCCUGGAGCUCAACUCCAGAACUGCCUUUGAUACUGAAGAUCUUGAGUUCGGGAGAGGUGAGUGGAACUGCGAGUGUAGAGGUGAAAUUCGUAGAUAUUGGGAAGAACACCGGUGGCGAAGGCGGCUCACUGGCCCGUAACUGACGCUCAUGCACGACAGCGUGGGGAUCAAACAGG
rnacentral:rRNA from 1 species